AGGGUGUUAAGUUAUUAAGACUAUGAUAUUUCAAGUAUUAAAGAGGUAGAUGCCACACCUUG
rnacentral:tRNA from 1 species